CAGUAGAUGAGGGCAGGAGGGUAUCUAGUAUACACUCUUAAGUCCCAGUGCAUCUUUAUGACAAACAGUUCUCUGUGGCAAGCACCCAAAGAGAUGUCAGCUGACAGGAAUGGACAUCCAGCAAGGCACUGCCCAAGGUGAAAUGGGUGGAUGUAGGGUUCAUCUGUGGGUUUAAAUACAGGAGGAUAAAGAGACAUUUCUGAUUACCCACAACUCAUGAAAACAAAUACUGAACUGUAAAAGAAAGCAGAUGAAUGGGCUUAGAAAAAAUUUCUUCCUUUUACAGUUCCCUUUUUUGAGUGGUCCAAUGAUAGUCACAGGAUUCUGAACAAAUAAGAGAACCUGUUUCUGACUCAGAGUUACACACAUCCCCUUUAUCUACUGAUAGGAAAACCAGCAGCUACAGAAUAGAGCUCAGAACGUGCCGUGGAUUAAUUAAAAUGCUAUGAAUGGAGAGGGCCUGAUGCAAAUGCAAUUUUCAACACAGGAAAAAGCAAUUAAACACAGAGUUCAAGAAUUUUAAGGGGUAGAAGCUCCUUCUUUUCAGCCUGUCACGGUUGCCCUUAACAUGCCAAUUUUUCAAGCCACCAGUGAUCCCUGCAAAAGUGGUCCUCUUGCCUUCUGUGGCCAACGUGGAACACAGCCGCAAGACUGGAAACCCUUUGCUUGGGCUCCAGUCUCCUUGAGGCACCUCGUGCUUUGGAGAUCAACCAGAAUACUGUCACUGUGACUUGAAGACCCUGUCAUCCCUCUGCCUGGACACUUCUGACCCUGCUGCUUCUCAAGACAGUCUCUAGCCCUGUUCACCAUGAGGCUAGGAGGAGAGUGUGGAGCCAUCACAAACAUGAAUAUAUUAAAGUUUUGAUAUAUUAAAUAA